UGGGGAAUAUUGCACAAUGGGCGCAAGCCUGAUGCAGCCAUGCCGCGUGUGUGAAGAAGGCCUUCGGGUUGUAAAGCACUUUCAGCGAGGAGGAAGGUGGUGGACUUAAUACGUUCAUCAAUUGACGUUACUCGCAGAAGAAGCACCGGCUAACUCCGUGCCAGCAGCCGCGGUAAUACGGAGGGUGCAAGCGUUAAUCGGAAUUACUGGGCGUAAAGCGCACGCAGGCGGUUUGUUAAGUCAGAUGUGAAAUCCCCGGGCUCAACCUGGGAACUGCAUUUGAAACUGGCAAGCUAGAGUCUCGUAGAGGGGGGUAGCAAUUCCAGGUGUAGCGGUGAAAUGCGUAGAGAUCUGGAGGAAUACCGGUGGCGAAGGCGGCCCCCUGGACGAAGACUGACGCUCAGGUGCGAAAGCGUGGGGAGCAAAACAGGAUUAGAUACCCUGGUAGUCCACGCUGUAAAACGAUGUCGAUUUGGAGGUUGUGCCCUUGAGGCGUGGCUUCCGGAGCUAACGCGUUAAAUCGACCGCCUGGGGAGUACGGCCGCAAGGUUAAAACUCAAAUGAAUUG
rnacentral:rRNA from 1 species